UGAACAAACUGCUCUUUAUCUUGCUUAUUUCUGUUAGUAGUGAUGUUACUCUAAAUAGGCAAUUAUGCUUCAUUUCCUGACAUUGCCAUCACUCAAGACCAUAGUUCGGAUCUAAUUAUACCUUCUUUUGGGAGAUGGGCAAGAACCAAUUGGUAGCCGAUCAAUUGAUAGCCAAUUUUCUAGACUUGCCAACAGUCGGCAUCAAACCAAUUAGGCUUGUAUUACCUGGUGGUACAUCUCAGCCAGGAAUAUUUGGUUGGUCUUAACUACAGGAUAUUUCAAACUGAUUUUGUUCAUAAUAUUCUACUACUAUGAGAUAAAUAGAAUGUUACCAUGGUUUGCUUUAGGUUAUUCUCUUAUUGCUUUGACCUUGUCAUUCUCUCAUUAGCUCUUGAUGCAAAACUAAGCUAUCAUUCUAAUCCACUUUUAGGGAGGGGAAUGGCCGUUGCAGGGUAAUUUUAUCUGUACAUCUGAAUUUAGUCACUAGACAUGUAAAACUUAUUUGCUAGAUAUGUAAGACUUAUUUGGCUUUCUUGCCUUAAGCCAUUAUCUCCUGUUUGGUUGACCAGCUAUGGUUGUUCAAUCCUGUACACUCUUGCUGCUAUUACCCAGUUUUUUAAGUUUUUCCAAGAGUGGAGAUCCAUUUCUGGAAGACACUAAAAUGUUAAAUGCAGGUCCUGUAUAAAAAGGAUUAUACUAUCUUCCCCUAACAAUGGAACAAUAAUCCUGUGAAACUUUGUUUAUUUCCCUCUGCAUAGUCCCAUAGUUUCAGACUGAAAAUCUGCCAGACCCCAUGACCAAGACUAUAUGAAUCUAGCAGAGGAAAUCAUAUGGGAAGCCGAGAUUGGUGCUUGGAACCAACCACACUGCCAAGCGCCAUCUCCUCUUGAAGAGCCUGGAAUCGUUGGUUCAUCAAUCCCCAUCAGGAACCACAUCCGACAAGGGAAUCAUGAUUCCCACACAAGUUCUAGAGGACAUGGGUGAUGAAAUCCCAUACAAUAGAACGAGUUACUUAACCCCGUAAUUUGGAUAACCCGCUUAAAGGUAUCAAGAAUCUACCCACGACGUACACUUCAUAACAUAGACGCACGGUAUGAAUAAAGUCGGUAUCACAACAUUACCGCUGCUGCCAAUAUAUUAAUAUAGCAAAAGCUCAUACAUGGAGCAAGAUAGCAAAUUUAUUACAUUUAUAGAUCAGA